AACGAACGCUGGCGGCAUGCCUAACACAUGCAAGUCGAACGAAACGUCCGGGUCUUUGGGCGCACGGGUGCGGAAGGCGUGGGGAGCUUCCCUUGUGUACCGAAUACCUCCCCGAAAGGGAUGCUAAUGCCACAUAGGCUCUUCUCACCAACGAUUUAUUGCCUUUGGAUGGGCCCGCGUUAGAUUCGGUAGUUGGUAGGGUAAUAGCCUCCCACGGCGACGAUUCUUAGCUGGUCGGAGAGGAUGAUCAGCCACACUGGGACUGAGCCACGGCCCAGAAUCGUACGCAAGGGAGGAGUGGGGAAUAGUGGAAAAUGGGGGAAAGCAUGAUACAGCAAUGACGGGUGAGUGAUGAAGGGAGUAGGGUUGUAAUGCUCUUUUAACCGGGAUGAUAAUGACGGUACCGGGUGAAUAAGCCCCGGCUAACUACGUG
rnacentral:rRNA from 1 species